GGGGCUGUAGCUCAGUGGCAGAGUGCUUGUCUUGCACAUAUGAAGCACUGGAUUCAAUCCUCAGCACCA
rnacentral:tRNA from 1 species